rnacentral:rRNA from 1 species
UACAGAGGGUGCAAGCGUUGUCCGGAUUUAUUGGGCGUAAAGAGUUCGUAGGCGGUUUGUUAAGUCUGGUGUUAAAGAUCGGGGCUCAACCCUGGGAGUGCACUGGAUACUGGCAGACUGGAGUGCAGUAGAGGCGAGUGGAAUUCCCAGUGUAGCGGUGAAAUGCGUAGAUAUUGGGAAGAACACCGGUGGCGUAAGCGACUCGCUGGGCUGUAACUGACGCUGAGGAACGAAAGCCAGGGGAGCGAAUGGG